rnacentral:lncRNA from 1 species
UCAAACGUACACACCACACCCAAAUCGCAAAAUCAACACAACCAAACGCAAAAGGGCAGAGCACUGAAGCAUAAGAAUGAAAGUAGAAAGUGAGGAAAAAAGAUGAAGAAAAAAUCACAAACCAGUUUCUAAUUCAAGCUGCUAAAUCAACCGCAUUGCUAAACCAGCAGCAGCAGAAGAGGGUGGAGAGCUACGAAGAGAAGUUGGAAGAAGAAACCCUAGGUGGGAGAGGGAAAAGGUUUGGAGCGAGAGCUGCGUUAAGUGUGUAAGCUACUUCAGGGAAA